AGUGUAGGCGGCUUCGUAAGUCGGAUGUGAAAGCCCCGGGCUUAACCUGGGAACUGCAUCCGAUACUGGGUAGCUAGAAUGCAGUAGAGGGAGGUGGAAUUUCCGGUGUAGCGGUGAAAUGCGUAGAGAUCGGAAGGAACACCAGUGGCGAAGGCGGCCUCCUGGACUGACAUUGACGCUGAGGUGCGAAAGCGUGGGGAUCAAACA
rnacentral:rRNA from 1 species